rnacentral:rRNA from 1 species
CAAUGGACGAAAGUCUGAUGGAGCAAUACCACGUGAACGAUGAAGGUCUUCUGAUUGUAAAGUUCUUUUAUUUAGGAAAAAAAGCGCGCUAGGAAAUGAGCGCGCCUUGAUGGUACUAAUUGAAUAAGUGACAGCUAACUAUGUGCCAGCAGCUGCGGUAAAACAUAGGUCACAAGCAUUAUCCGGAUUUAUUGGGCGUAAAGGAAGCGUAGGCGGGGAGGCUGAUCCAUUGUUAAAGGCAUUUGCUCAACAAAUGUGUGCGAUGGAGAUCUCCUCCCUAGAGUUAAUC